rnacentral:tRNA from 2 species
GCUGGUUUAGCUCAGUCGGUAGAGCGCAUCCAUGGUAAGGAUGAGGUCGCCGGUUCGAUCCCGGCAACUAGCA